GCAUAUAAAGACGAGUUUCGCAGGAUGUAUGAACUGCAGUGCUGCCAGAACUGUCAAGAAAUUUAUAAAGACUGCAUACCGGGCUACGUUGGGCGUGGGAGACGAGGGGAGCUUGUGGCAUUUUACAGCGAAAACGAGCACCCUGCAUUCUGCAGCCAGUUCUGCAGCCAGCUUUACGAGGAUCUGGGUGUGUGAGUGGCUGUGUGUGUGAUUGGCUGGGUGUGUGAUUGGCUGGGUGUUACAUUUUUAAAUAAAGACUUUUGUAUUUGUU